GAACUGCUGAAGAGUCCCAUAAUAGGACGAAACGGCCGUCCAGUAC
rnacentral:hammerhead_ribozyme from 1 species